ACACUCCUACGGGAGGCAGCAGUGGGGAAUAUUGGACAAUGGGCGCAAGCCUGAUCCAGCCAUGCCGCGUGAGUGAUGAAGGCCCUAGGGUUGUAAAGCUCUUUCACCGGUGAAGAUAAUGACGGUAACCGGAGAAGAAGCCCCGGCUAACUUCGUGCCAGCAGCCGCGGUAAUACGAAGGGGGCUAGCGUUGUUCGGAUUUACUGGGCGUAAAGCGCACGUAGGCAGACUAUUAAGUCAGGGGUGAAAUCCCGGGGCUCAACCCCGGAACUGCCUUUGAUACUGGUAGUCUUGAGUUCGAGAGAGGUGAGUGGAAUUCCGAGUGUAGAGGUGAAAUUCGUAGAUAUUCGGAGGAACACCAGUGGCGAAGGCGGCUCACUGGCUCGAUACUGACGCUGAGGUGCGAAAGCGUGGGGAGCAAACAGGAUUAGAUACCCCAGUAGUCCC
rnacentral:rRNA from 1 species